GACUCUGUAGUGAAAUUCAUGUUGAGUUGCAAGCUCAUUGAUGUGCGUUAGAGGCGUACCAGGGUCU
rnacentral:tRNA from 1 species